rnacentral:rRNA from 1 species
GAUGAACGCUGGCGGCGUGCCUAAUACAUGCAAGUCGAGCGAACGGACGAGAAGCUUGCUUCUCUGAUGUUAGCGGCGGACGGGUGAGUAACACGUGGAUAACCUACCUAAGACUGGGAUAACUUCGGGAAACCGUAGCUAAUACCGGAUAAUAUUUUGAACCGCAUGGUUCAAAAGUGAAAGACGGUCUUGCUGUCACUUAUAGAUGGAUCCGCGCUGCAUUAGCUAGUUGGUAAGGUAACGGCUUACCAAGGCAACGAUGCAUAGCCGACCUGAGAGGGUGAUCGGCCACACUGGAACUGAGACACGGUCCAGACUCCUACGGGAGGCAGCAGUAGGGAAUCUUCCGCAAUGGGCGAAAGCCUGACGGAGCAACGCCGCGUGAGUGAUGAAGGUCUUCGGAUCGUAAAACUCUGUUAUUAGGGAAGAACAUAUGUGUAAGUAACUGUGCACAUCUUGACGGUACCUAAUCAGAAAGCCACGGCUAACUACGUG